rnacentral:rRNA from 1 species
AUGGCAUCAUUCAAUCCUGUUGAUUCAUUUGCUGCUUAUGAUCAAGAGAAGUUGGUCAAGCUUGCCCACUUUUAUCCUAAGGAUUUCUCAAAGACGGAAAUAUUGAAACUUCCUUAUGAAUUGUCAAUGUUUAUUGCUGAUAUGCGUAGAGAUGAAAGAUUU